rnacentral:lncRNA from 1 species
CAAACCCGCCCGGCCCGGCAGCCGUACCGCAGACGAGCCCGCGCCCGCGCCGCUCAGGUGCCUGAAGAAGGUCUUGGAAUAUAUCCCUUGUAGGAAAGGGGGACUACUGUAUAUGUAUGAUUAGAUCUCCCAGCUGGACAUUGGAAAUAACUUUUGAUGGUGUAGGGACUUUUCCAUGUGACCCCAGGUAAGUCCUCUUUUGGUGACCAUUUAUAAAUAUUUGUAAAGACAUUUGAACAG